GUGAAUCAUCGAAUUUUUGAACGCAAAUUGCACUCUCUGGUAUUCCGGAGAGUAUGCCUGUUUGAGGGUCAGUAUAAAUAAAAAUCGAGGUGUUGCUUAUGGUGACGCCAUCGGAAUUGGGUUAUCUUUAAUCUUAAUAAAGGUUUAAAGUGACCUAAAUUUAAGGAUACUUUUUGAUCUUAAUGAGUUACUUAAGAUUUUUUUUUUUUCGUUUUGGGG
rnacentral:misc_RNA from 1 species